CUGCAUCCACUGAUAGACCUCGAACAGUUGGCCGUUGUUCUUUUGGUUUGCACUAGGAUGCGAAAGGAAAAAAUCCCCGCGCUUUCUGUCUGUCUUUGUGGCAGCCCGGAUUGAACAGGGGAAUACACCU
ensembl:snoRNA SNORA31 small nucleolar RNA, H/ACA box 31